GAUGAACGCUGGCGGCGUGCUUAACACAUGCAAGUCGAGCGAGAAGUUUUGAAAAGAUUCUUCGGAUGAAAUUUAAAAUGGAAAGCGGCGGCCGGGUGAGUAACGCGUAGGCAACCUGCCCCAUACAAAGGGAUAGCAUUUGGAAACGAAUAUUAAUACCUUAUGAAACUUAACUAGUGCAUGCUAGGUAGGUCAAAGAUUUAUCGGUAUGGGAUGGGCCUGCGUCUGAUUAGCUAGUUGGUGAGGUAACGGCUCACCAAGGCGACGAUCAGUAGCCGACCUGGGAGGGUGAACGGCCACAUUGGAACUGAGACACGGUCCAAACUCCUACGGGAGGCAGCAGUGGGGAAUAUUGCACAAUGGGGGAAACCCUGAUGCAGCAACGCCGCGUGAACGAUGAAGGCCUUUGGGUCGUAAAGUUCUGUUCUAGGUGAUGAAAACUGACAGUAACCUAGGAGAAAGCCCCGGCUAACUCCGUG
rnacentral:rRNA from 1 species